AUUUCCUCUGGUGGUCACAUUAGCGAAACACGAUGGAUUUGCAUGACCGAGAGGAGGGAUGGUUGGUCGCCGUAAAUAGUCGAACUUGGAGCUAGAAGCUCAACUCAUGUCUAAUUGUCGUAUCUAAACAGAUUUCGCUUUUCGUAUUUCUCAAGCCCACAUUGUUUUUUUCAAUGAUGGAGGAUGACGAUUUAGUGUGCGAGUAUGAUUCAACCUGGGACACAGAGAGUGAUGAUGGAGACGACCCAGGAGAGAACCAAAUGCGUAUUUUAAACCAGGACUAAACUAAACCGUAUUGGAAAUCAGGUUUAUGGUCAAACAUGUCCUCCAGAAACACGAGGGCUGCGAAGGACAUGCAGAACUACAGACGAGGGUAUCCUAAUCUAACAGAUGAAUGCUCAGGAGAAAGAAUGUUUAAUUUAAAAUUCUAUCUCAAUGAAUACCCCGCCUCCCCUGAUGGUAGGUCAGUUGCUAUUUAAUCAGUUUUCAAUGGCUAUAAAAUGUGUGUAAUGAGCAAAAGCAUAUACAAUGCCUUGCAAAAUUAUUCAUAACCCUUGGAAUUCGUCAUACUAAGUGCGAUUGAAAUGUAUUGUCAUAAGUAAGCAUUUCACUGUAAUGUCUACAUCUGUUGUAUUCAGCUCAUGGGACUAAUAAAAUUUGAUUUUCUUUGGAGACAAGGGUAUAACCAGCCAUAUGGAAGCAAACUGAAACUCAUAUUAUAUAUUGAGGCCAAUUUUCCACAAUGAAAUGUGCCGCUAUUCUGAAUUUAAUUGUGUGCCCUCAUAAUUUGCGUGGACGAUAUUCAAAGACUCUAGGCUUCUGAAGGGCUGAACCUGCUGGGUUGAUGUAUGACCUUUAGAAUGUUUUGAUCAUAUGUUUGUGCUUUUCUGUUUUUAUUUUACAAUUUGUAUCAUGUUAAAUGUUGGCCACUAUUGGGAGCCACUGUCAGUAAUACCACAUACAUUUUAUUUUUGCAUCAUUCCAUUCUGUUUACGUUUCUUUCCUCUGUCACAUCCUUGUAAAUUGUUUCUGAGGGUCACUAGCAUUAGUGGAUCAUAUUAGGCUAACAGUGUGCAAUCAUUUGGGACAUGUAGCCUAUUUGAAUCAUUAUAGAACUCUGACCACACAUAGCAGGUUUAACCAGGAGCCUGGCGCACGGUUCAGGAUGACUGGACCGUUGUCAUCCUGUUCCAUGAUUUGGGUAGAUAUAUAUGAUUAUUGUUCAACCCCUAAUUGUACACUUUUUCCACCUUUUCAAUAUUUUAUGGAUUGAACUCAAAUGUCAACUUGCAUGAUGAAUCAAACACUAUUUUUAUUCAUCGAUGUAUUUUGUGCAAAGAUUUUCCAAGCUGUUUUUUUAUUCAUACAUACUUUCCUAACCUUAAAAUGUACCUAAAUAAUUAAAAGUUCAGAGUAUUCACCAGUCGGUGUUGAAACGGAGAUGAAUAUGCAUAAUGGAAUUAUUUUCAUUGAUCCCUAUAUU